GGUGCCAUGGCUUAGUAAGUUAAAGCACCUGUCUAGUAAACAAGAUUCAAAUCCCAGUGGCACCU
rnacentral:tRNA from 1 species